UACAUGAAGUGAUUUAGCAUUAAAAAAGAUAGAUUUUCAAUGGGCAUUUGAAAGCAAGGCUUGAUGUGUUAUGUUGUUACAAAAUUCAAUAUAUGCAGUUGAACUCUGAGCACUUGCGUUCAUAACAUAUGAAAGGGUUCUCUUAAAACUGUGUCUUCAUUAUGCCAUUCCAACUUUGCUAUGUAAUUUUAGCAUAGUACUUUAUGUCUGAUUUUCAGCACUGUAGGUUUUUGCAGCUCGGUGGGUUAUGCUUUGAGCAGAUUCUUCUUUUUAUUCAAAAGGAGGAAAGCUGUUGCUCUGCCUCUUUAUAAACUCACCAGAGCCAAUCCUUCAUACCAGAGUUCAUGUUUUAUUGACCAGACAGUCUUUUGUCUUGGCAAUUAAUUUCUGCAAGGAUACAGUGCUGUAGAAACUAUUAACAAUACUGAUGUUACUGUAAUAUUUAUCAGAAUAAUUAUUUAAAGUAUAUGGUUCAUUACUUACAUUUUCAUGUCUGUGUGGUACAUGUAUCAGCCUGUUCCACUACUCUGCACCUGUACUGUCUCUGCCUUCUGUCCAUUCCUCUUCCAGCCCUGUCCCUUCCUCCGGAGCUGUGUUGGUGCCACAUUGCCAUGACCCCACUGCUGCUUCCAUUAGUCACCACCAUAGGAACCACAUCCCCAGAGGCAGAUCCUGGUUCCUAUGCAAAAACAGAUCAGCAAGUUCAAUCAGAACCAAAAGUUAAUGCCCGUUGGCUAAUUUCCAGUGCAUGCCUCCACAGAACAACUGUUGCCUUUAACUGGUGGAGAGAUCAAGGCUUGAACUGACAAAAGACAUCUGUAUUUUGGAAAACAAAUUAAUGUUUAUGUUUUAAUUUAUAAGUUCCUGGCUCUUUUAUGGUUCCUGUUUUUCAAGUAAUGUCUCUUUGGAUCCCUAGCUGAUCGAGAGUCAAAAUGGAAAAGGCCCAUGAGAGAAUUAUCACAAUACAACAUCUGGUCUGCAUUGGAAAGAGCGGAGAAAGAUAUUCAACAUCUCUGAGACCGAGGGGCAGCUAUGAGGCACUUUCAAAGUCUGUGAAAAAUCAUGCAGGUUGUUGCCACCUGGGUCAAUCUAGUGUUGUUUUGGGAAGAGCUACUUUGCUUUCUAGCAUCUCGAUUUUAAUCUCACUUCAGCACAGAUACAUGAGAGCUGGGAGUGGUAUGAAAGGUGUUUGCUUUUCAUAAUGUUAAUCUGAAUCUCAGCAUUGUCCUAAUUAUAUUGUGGGGUUUUGCCAGUCUCCCAAUUUUCUUUUGAGCGUGUUAGCUAGGAGUCAAAGGCUUUCUCAGGGCUUUUGGCAUAGCUUUAUAGGAAAAAAGGAUGGAAAGGACUUUGUAUAUUUUUGGAAGAAUAUUUUGCAUCCUGCUUUAAACUAUUCCAGAAGGUUAAAGGACAUUAGCUACACUGCAUAUUGGCUCGGGUACUGGUAUGUCACUAAUGGCAAGUUUUGCUUUGUCUAAUUGUUCGGGUUUCUGCAGUCACAGACUAUGAGAAAUGCAAAGAAAUCAUGGACCAACCCAGGCAGUAAGGUUACCACUGGAUUCAGGGGGAACAAUCUCCUUCCACCACAUGAAACUUUGGUCCUUUAAGUCAUCAUAGCUCAUGCAGAACAUAAACAAUUUGACAUGUAUAACAAGAAACACUGCAAAUUGUUUUCCAAACAGGCAUAUACUGCAGAUGGAAGAACUGAUGAAAAUUGUUUAUAAAUGAGGAACUAAAUGUAGAUUUUUCAAGAACAAGGUUGCUCUAUUCUUUGCCAAGACAAACAAAUCUGAUAGAACAUCUCAUUGCUUUAGGCUGCCCGAGGACCCACUGGAAAGUCUAUGGACCUUUCUCCACAGUAAAUUUGUGUGUUGUCAGUACAUAAGUGUAUUGUGCACUGUGGCAGCUGCAGAGGAAGUGGAAGGUUCUCGGGAAUACAUGAGGGAGAACUAGAUUUUUGGCUCCUAACAGAGUGUGGAGUGCUUUUGGAAACUGGAAGUUUAUGAGCUGGAUGUUACUGCUACAAAAGGUUAUCUGUGAGUUAAACAUUAUGGUAAUUAAUCUGUUAUCUUUAGAUCUUGACACUAACAACAUCAUGAAAUUGAGAAUUCCUAUUCUUUGGAAUUGCAGUUUUCCAAGAUGCCUUCAUUCCUACAAAGAUAGGAUUGUUCGAGGUUUUCAGUGCACAGAUGUUUUUACAAGGCAGUAUAUAGUCAUCCCAAACAACUGUUUUUAAUGGGCCAGUUAUUUGAAAAAGCAUGUAACAAGAGCAUUAAUACAAUCCCUGAUACUGACAUGAAACAUGUAUUAGCAAAAUAAUAUUGUUUGUAUUUCCCUCAUACAUAACAGGCCCUGGAAAUAUAAAACUAAUCAUGUCCUUAAAAUACUGUUAUAUCUGUAAACAUCUGGAAAAGAGGGCCAGCAGCAUCGUCAGCUGCAUUAGGAAAAGCAUUGCCAGGAGGUCAAAGGAGGUGGAUGUUCUCCUUCACUCAGCACUUGUGAGACUUCAGCGGGUGUACUGUGCCCAGUUUUGGGCUCCCAAAGCAGCAAGGAGGACAUGAACAUACUGGAGUGACUGCAGGAAAGGGCCAUGGAGAUGAUUAAGAGACUAGAGCAUCUGUGAUAUGGUUGCCCAAAGAGGUUGUGGAGCUGGCAUCCUUAAAGAUACUCAGAACACAAUUGGGCAAGCUCCUGAGCAGCCUUAUUUGGGUGAUUCUAAUUUGAGCUGGGAGUUGAACUGGAUGAUCUCCAGACAUGCUUCCAACCUCAGUGGUGCUGUGAAUAUUUGAAGCAGUUUGCUUAUGUCUGGUCAGCAUUUUAGCUGGAACUUGACUGUGUAGGAAUCCUAAAGAAAGCAAAGUCUGUAACCCUAGAAAUACAUCCAGAUGGCUAAGGCCCAGAAAAUGCAUAAUGGGAGCUGCUAAGUAUUUUGAAUGUCUCAUCAGAGUGAUAUUUCACUUAAAAAUACAAAUAUAGAAGUGACUUGGGUCUUCCUAUCAAUGACACUGAAUACUCAGUGAUCAUUGGUAUGAUCUCUUACUUCAGCUGGACUGUAAAGGGUAACAACUUCUCUCUGAACACCUAUUUUAGUUUAAUCUUGCUCUGGAAAAUCUUACCAUAUACUUUACUCUAGAAAUGAAUAUUUGAUGCUUUAUGGUGCAGAAUUUGUUGGUUUGUUACAUGCUUGCUUUCCUUACUAGUACUGAUAUUAACAAAUUGCAAUGUAUUUUGACAUACUACUUCAGUAAUAGACACAUACUGUGUCUCAAGGACUUGAGAAUAUCAUCGGACUUGAGAAUAUCAUCAUUUGAGCAAGGUAAAAUCAAAAUAUAUAAUUACAUUGCAUAUUCUAUGGCACUUAGUUUCUAACUAUUCUUACAGCACCUUUAAAGAACAAAUAUUCAAAAAUGGCUUUCAUAUUUUCAUGACACAAGUUUUAUAUGGAAAUGCAUAAUAAUGUAUUUUUUUAGAUCAGCUGAAUAGUGGUAGGAAGAUUUACGUUUGAUUUUUCAUGAUGAAAAUGCCAAGGAACUAACUUUCAGGGUUGAGAAUUCUCAGAUUCUCCUUUUGAAAACUCUUUGUCUUUCAUGUUACCUCUAAGAAAAAGAGAAAGCAUUGUGGAAAACAAGAAGUUGAGGAAUGUGGCAAAAAGAAUUAAGAAACAAAUAGAUUACAAAGCAUUUGAUUUUAGUUUUUUGCAUACCAGCAAAUGAAACACUGAGAAAUAACCUGUUUCUUUAUUAUCAAUAUAUGGAGUUAUAGUGGGUUUGGCAGACCAGGACAUAAGUGUAUAAAUAACACCUGUGAUAAUUAUUAGAAGACCUCAAAUUUUGCUGUGGCUGAACUCAUCCUAAUAUCACAAAAUUAAGUCUUCAGACAUAAGUAACAUAUGAAGGUCAAAUACACUUAGUCAUAAGUUGCUAUCAUCUGCCAUCACUUUUCCAUGACUUAGUGCUUUUACAGCAAAUCUCCUGCUGAUUGCAGUAAGCUCUGCGUAGGAUGGGGGUUUUGGUGGGGAGAGUAUUACUUUAAAUUGACACCUCUAGCAGCAGUUCCUACUUCUAAUGUUUUCCUUUUAUACAUUUAUAGCCUAUUAUAUCUACCCAAAACUGGCAUAGCUCCAAGUCACCCAUUUCUCAGUAAUACAGGAAAUUAAAUCUAAUGUCUAAUAGGCACAGAGGCUUAUGCAACCUUCAUUCGCUGAAAAAAGUAUUAAGUAACUUAAUAAUAUUACCUUGUCUUUUGAUAGCUGGAGAGUUGUGCACUUGGUUUUUCUGUAGACCAGAUAGGUUCUGAAUUUGGACUAGAGGAGGCUGGGUUUAUCCAUCCUUUUCUGCAAGCUUUAUGAAUGUCACCUCAAUAUUACUCUCUUGUUGAAGGACUCCCUGAAACUUUCCUAUCUAAGAUUUAGGGCCCUUCUCCACUUCUUCCUGUGGUAGGAACCCAAUCUGUUCCCUGAUACAAGGCUUGUGUACCCUGUAUUCUUAUCCAGGGGGUGCUGACUGCUCUCGUUCAUUCUUCCCCCCAGGAUUUUCUCCAGCCUGACCAGGUUUCUGCCUGCUCCAUCCCAUUUUCUAUUAAUACCCACUGCAGUUCUGUGUUGGUGGGUGCAGCAUUUAAAAGUGCAGAAAUCUGACUUGAGACCACACAGAUUAGCACCAUAAUUUCAGUGUCUUGUGUCCUGCAUGUAUCGGUUUAAUAAAUGGAUUUAUACUGAAUAAUUUUAAACUGUUAGAGCCUUCUGAAACUGUUUCUGUAACAUAUAGAGUGAUGUAAGGUCACCGGUGCUGUGGAAAUUGGUUUUGCAGCUGAUAUGUUAAUUCAGCAAGAGAUGAGUUCUUGCAGAACGCAAAGAAAAUGAUUUUAAUAUAGUGCCAUGCUACUUCAUUGGCUUUCAGGAAAGAGAUAAUUAAAACAUUCAAGGGAGUUUCAGGUCUCUGAAGAAAGUACCAUUAUGGAAAUACAAGGUUAUUUUUACCACACAGCUUAUUAGCUUCUUUUCUAAAAGCAAAUCAACUGAAUGUGAUGGACUCAAAAUAACAUUUUCACCUGCUCAGGAAGAUGAGAGAGAAGAUAUUUUUAUAAACUGAGUUCAAUAUAAGACUUGGCACAGUCUCUCCUGUGUCACUCACCCCAGGUUUACAGUAACCACUGCUGCAAUUUUCUGGAUGAAAACUUCAUCCAAAUACAUCCAGGGCCCUUAAUAAGGCUGCACUAGUGUGACUGAUUGCAAUGGGGAACAGAAUUACAUUGAUGGUGCCUAAGGAGAAGGAGAAUCUCUGCACUUAGUAUGAAUAAGGGGUAGCAAAGGCCUAAUUUUUCAGAAACAAAUAAUUAAGUUAAAUUGAAAAUAAUUUUAGUAGUCAAUCCUGAAGAAAAAUCACUAGGAAUUUAGAAGCCCUGUAUUUUUUUCAAGCAGUGUACUUAUACUAGGGAAUUACUGAGCACAGAAAGUAAAAUAACUGUAAUGUUUACUAUAUGAAGAGACUAAAGGAAAACAGUUUUACUAGCAUGAACUGCUUCAUCUUUUUGAGAUGAAGAAUAAGCAAAAUUUUGCAUACUGAAGAAUAAACAAAAUAAAAUUGAGUUUCUAAGAAACAAUUCUAAAAAACUCUAUUAUAAAAAUUGUAUUAUAGUUUAAAAGAUAUUUUAUGAGAUAUUAAACUGAAAAAUGACAUUUUACUCUAUGUUCUUUCAUAAAACAGGUACAAUAGUGCUGUUCCCAGAGGAAAGACACCAGUUCCAGCAAGCGUAGUGUCUGUUCUAGAAUUAAGCAUAAAUUGUUCAAAAUAUCUACAUAAACAAGAAGGUUAAAAAGCUUAAUGUCAAAAUAACGUUCUUGUAUGUAACAGCAUCCACUGUGUCCAGCCUGUUCUGUUUUAGAUUGCCCAGGACCACAAACAGAUACUUUACACAGAGAAGAAACAAUGCUCUAUUCUAAAGGGAAUGGCAGAGCAUCUGAGACCAUACAUUUGACUCUUCACUGUAUGUAAAACCCAGGUAUUAUUUUAGUAAUUUAACAACCAAGAUGAAAUCCUGAACAGUUGCCCUUGCAAUAUUUGCAGUGAUUUUGGGUUCUUGUUGGAAAUCCCUUAAGUGUUUUUAAAACAUCAAAACUAUUUUUCCUCUAGGUCUGGUUUUCUGGUUUCCCAUUUAGUCAGUCAUGAACAAAACACACUUUAGCUCUAUGUCUAUACCUAAAUGUACAUUUAGAUCCCCUUAAAUAUUAGGAGGAGGUAGCUUUCAGUAUUCUAAGUUAGGAGUCAGUCUGAGCACGGCUCAGAAAUCAUCCUGCAGAUGCACAGUGUUAACCGGAAACAAUUUAGAAUGGCAGUGGUAUCCUGCAGGAUGUGUGCAACUCGUUCGGCUAUGUGUUGAUUUACACAGGACUACAUUAUAGAUUAUACAUUCUGGUAAUUGUGGUAUUGUUAUUGCUAGGCUAUAUCUAAGCACAGGAAAUACAUAUAAGCACAUUUGAAGUGAUAACAUCCACUUCUGUUUAAAAAGUAAUAUUUUAUUCUUGUCAAAAAACACAUAAUAUGGCAUUUGCAAGAGAAAAUAGACAAUUUCCAAAUUAGUACUUAGCAAGACUUUUAGGGGAAGAGCUGAUUCAUUAUGGGAGGCCCAUAACCAGCAUUUGCAAAUAAAUCCAUAAACUUUUAUUCUGAAUUGCUUUUAAAAAUGUUUUUUUUUUAGUAUGGACUGUAGUCCAAGAUCAGAAGGAGACAGUACAUUUCCAUCUGAAAACACAAGAAAGAUUGAAAUAAAUGUUUAGUGUGUCACCAAAACCACAGUACAAGUUUCUGUUAAGGAGAAUGAGUAAUACCAUUCUAGCUAUUAGAAUGCUGUGAGUGAGUAAUAAUUCCAUCUAACUGGUAGGGCAGAUUAUGUAUUCUGCAAGAAAAUUAUCCCAUCUAAAAUCUUGCCCUAUUUCUUCAGCUCAGUAGGAAAGCCUAUGCACCAUACCCAUUUACCUGAAGUCCCUCUAUGCUUGCAUGUCUAAUAUUAGGAUUCAGGAACAUCCAACAUCCCCAACCCUGUCUUGACAUUCAGGAACAGAUUGACUCCGACCUUGACUUGAAAAUGGGCAUUUGUUCCUGCUACUGCUCCCAGGAUGUAGGAUUUGGGUUCAUCCUCAGCUCUGCAGCUGGAGAUAGUAUACGGUGAGGCACCUCUCAGAGCACUUCUCACCAUGUCUUUGUAACAGUGUAGGCUUCAGACCUAUCUGUGCGCUUAGGAAAAUGACUGAUCAAGUCAAAGGUCUUCCAAGUUUCCCCCCUGGAAGGGGGUAUGGGUCUCUCCAGAAGAAUGACGGACUGUCUAUCAGUUUUGUAUGACAACCUCUUUUCCACAGACAACACUAACUGACAAAAUAUAGUUAACAUAUUAUGCAUGCUAUGCCUGUUUCUUAGUUUGUUUCACCAGGGAAAAUAGAUUAAAAUUGGUAUAAAGUUUCCCUCUUGUUCCUCCCAAUAAUAGAAAAUUACCAGGGAGAAAAAAUAAGACAAAGAUUUAACUUUAUGGAAUAAUUAGAGGAAAGCAUAAGAUGUUCUCUCAAAAGGCCUUCCAGCUAAACUUCUCUUUUUUUCUUUAACAUUGUGAAACAUUCUUGUCUGUAUUAAUACAUGACAAAAGUAACAGUAGAACUGUGAAACUGAUUAAUACACCCAAAAAAUACAAACCCCUGGUCCAUAGCUAAAUCUGUAUCCAUACUGCAGCAUGAUGGCAAUUGUAUCACAGGGUAAAAUCAGAAUUAGAGUUGGUGCUGGCUGAUACUUUUCCUCUUCAUAAUCCUGGAGCUUGUAAUGCUGUUGCAGAUCAAUAAUACCAUGUUAUACUCUGUAAAGUGGUUUGCUGAAAUGAUAGUUAUGAGUGAGGUUCUAAACAGACACUGCAACAUACAAUAAAGGAUUGACCUACUAAGAGAUCUAGUGGUGAUGUGAUAAACACAUACAUAAAAUAGCCCAAAGCCUAAUGAUUUGCUUCACAAUUUCAUGAAAAACUUUUUAUUGUUGGUUUGGGAUUUUUUUAAUCUUUAUUAUUUAACAUUAAGAAUACAUUUGUCUUUAUGAAUUCAUAAAUGCUACUGGUGUGACAUUUUUGUGCUGACAGCCAAACUAACAGUGAACAGAACUUUAGUUUUGUCAAUCUCAUAUUAGCCAAACUUUGAAAUAAUAAGGUGGCAAAGUUAAUAUGCCUUUGCUUGGGGAGGGCUUAUUACAAUAUUCUUUUGGAAGUGUCAUUUGCUUGGGUAAGCUUUCAUUUAAAAGAUAAUAUGAAAAUAUGUUGAAUUUUAAAUAUGAUCUUCAGUAUUUUCCUGAAUGGGAAUCUCUGUGCCUAGUUUAAACUUGUAAUAUCCUGUUUAACAAAGGAGCAGCUUCGAUAGUACUUAGAGUACUUAAUGUUAUGCAAGUUUUCAAAGUUUGUUGCUGGGAUCAGGGCUUUAAAAGCAAAGGUCAGGUAAAGAUCCUUUCUUGGAGCACACUUGGAUAUGAGCCCCUAUGUUUAUUUUUCUUCAUAAGUCUACUUAUUUAAUAGACCAAUGAUAACUUUAAUAUAAUUAUAUUUGUAUUUGUGAGAGUAUCAGGAAAAAAAUAAAUACAUGUAUUCUGUUGAACAGCACCCCUAA